ACAUGGAACAUCCUGCCCUAUGCUGAUUGGCCAUCUAUACAUCUUCUUUGGUGAGAUGUUCUGUGGCUAUUUUACUGCUGCCCGAGAGAAGCCAGCCUGCCAGGUGUGCUGUGUGAAGCCUGCAGAUGGAGAUGCUGCUCCAUGGGGAAACUCUGAGGAAUUAGGGGAAAUGGGUCAUAAAGGACUUCAUCUUACUAUCAAGAUCAGCACUGACCUCUAGCAUCUGGUCUUCUGGACUUCUCAGAUUUUUAGUAAAGCUUCCAAAUCAAGCCUAAUGAUAAUGCUACAAUCACUCCUGAAAUGAUCAUGGAGCCUCAGAAUUCAGGAAGAAUUUGAGCAGGACCAUAACUGACUGUCAAAGCAUUAACAGGCAAUGCAUUUAUUUGUACCUCCUGCACUGUAAUAUAUACUCGUUAUGCAAGUUAAAGUUAUAAUCACUUGUUCUAA